rnacentral:sRNA from 1 species
GAUACCAGGGUCAAAAGGUUGGAAAUUCGAUGCAAGCUUGCUUGCAAGCGGAUUUUUAACCUUGGGACCCACCAAAAACAUGAAUAAGUAGCCAUUUUUCAAAGAAAAAUGAGCGAAUUAUGAAUGUUUUUGAGGAUUGCGGGAGCACACCGUGCGGAGCAAUCCGGU